AGAGUUUGAUCCUGGCUCAGAUUGAACGCUGGCGGCAGGCCUAACACAUGCAAGUCGAGCGGCAUCGGGAAGGUAGCUUGCUAUCUUUGCCGGCGAGCGGCGGACGGGUGAGUAAAGUCUGGGGAUCUGCCUGAUGGAGGGGGAUAACUACUGGAAACGGUAGCUAAUACCGCAUGAUGUUACGCGACCAAAGCGGGGGACCUCCGGGCCUCGCGCCAUCAGAUGAACCCAGAUGGGAUUAGCUAGUAGGAGAGGUAAUGGCUCCCCUAGGCGACGAUCCCUAGCUGGUCUGAGAGGAUAACCAGCCACACUGGAACUGAGAGACGGUCCAGACUCCUACGGGAGGCAGCAGUGGGGAAUAUUGCACAAUGGGCGCAAGCCUGAUGCAGCCAUGCCGCGUGUGUGAAGAAGGCCUUCGGGUUGUAAAGCACUUUCAGCGAGGAGGAAUGAAGCAAUGCAAAGAGUGUUGCUAAUGGACGUUACUCGCAGAAGAAGCACCGGCUAACUCCGUGCCAGCAGCCGCGGUAAUACGGAGGGUGCGAGCGUUAAUCGGAAUUACUGGGCGUAAAGGGCACGUAGGCGGUUUCUUAAGUCAGAUGUGAAAUCCCCGAGCUUCACUUGGGAACGGCAUUUGAAACUGAGAGUCUAGAGUUUUGUAGAGGGGGGUAGAAU
rnacentral:rRNA from 1 species